UGGGUUCUAUACUUCUCAGAUCUUAGUGCUUGAUUUCUUUCAUAAUAAUUUCUGCAGUUUUAGGAUUCAUUCUUUUGAGGACCCAAGUUGCUUAAGCCGACAAUCAAGCAAUGACUUAUCUUGUAGUGUUGCAGCUUCAGUUUGUCUGGCCUUCCAUGCUACAGUGAUUUGCACAAUUGAUGUCUUAUAAACAAGGAUUUCUUGGCAACGCACGCAGAAGCAAGUUACUAUGAAUAAAAUGCACUUCUUCGAUUUUGGGUUUAGUGCUGCAGCUCCUUUUGAAAGACCUGCACCACCAGGCUAGAAUGAGAUACUCCUUUCUUUAUUAUAUAUUCCUGGUAAUUUUCUCCAAUGCAUUGGUUUCCGGCAUUGAAAGAACUAAAAAGGAAACACUGUCCCACGCCCUGUCUGAUUUGGAUCAGUUACCGUUCUUUGUUGACAGCUUGGAUAAUCCCUGUCUAACAACUUAUGUUUCAGUGUGCAUCUUCACAUAUUGACCCAUUUCUUCUGCUGUAUGAUGACUCAAUCGAGUUAGAGGUUUAAAUGGAGUCUUAACUUUUAACUUGAGGAACCCACUUACCUGAAUAUGAUCAGGAAGAUUUUCAUCUUUAGGCAGAAUGACAAGAAGUAGCUCUCUACCCAUUUCUCUAAGUAAUACUGCGACACUAAGAAACUCAAGGGGAAGUUUCUCCACAUCAAGGCGGAACGUUUGAGUAUCCAUAUGCAUUUCUCUGAAGUUGAUAGUUGGAUUCCAUCCAGUUACAAGUCCCCUACAAUGUGGAGUUCUCACUUGAAGAACAUAAAAAAUGUACUACUUUCAAAUGGUGGACCUGUUACACCUAAUCGGGGAGUAAUAGUAGCAUCCAAGUGCUGGUUCUAGUUCUCAGUCUAAUUUUCUAUCAUCAUGACAUUGGAGAGAAGUCAUACUUGGUAAUUUAAUGCUUGCUACAAUAUUGAAAAUGGAGGGAGAAAUUAUCCGCGAGUACGACCAGCAAAAGUGUACUUCUCCACAUUUAUGCCGUCUUACAUGUUCAGGGUGCCGUGGGUGGGGGGCGGUUGGUUGCAAAAGUGUACUUCUCCACAUUUAUGGCGCGACGGCUGUCUUAC